AGAGUUUGAUCCUGGCUCAGAUUGAACGCUGGCGGCAUGCUUUACACAUGCAAGUCGAACGGCAGCACGGGGGUAACCCUGGUGGCGAGUGGCGAACGGGUGAGUAAUAUAUCGGAACAUGUCCGGAAGUGGGGGAUAACGUAGCGAAAGUUACGCUAAUACCGCAUAUGCCCUGAGGGGGAAAGGAGGGGAUCGCAAGACCUUUCGCUUUCGGAGUGGCCGAUAUCAGAUUAGCUAGUUGGUGGGGUAAAGGCCUACCAAGGCAACGAUCUGUAGCUGGUCUGAGAGGACGACCAGCCACACUGGGACUGAGACACGGCCCAGACUCCUACGGGAGGCAGCAGUGGGGAAUUUUGGACAAUGGGGGAAACCCUGAUCCAGCCAUGCCGCGUGAGUGAAGAAGGCCUUCGGGUUGUAAAGCUCUUUCAGCCGGAAAGAAAUCGUGCAACCUAAUACGUUGUAUGGAUGACGGUACCGGAAGAAGAAGCACCGGCUAACUACGUGCCAGCAGCCGCGGUAAUACGUAGGGUGCGAGCGUUAAUCGGAAUUACUGGGCGUAAAGCGUGCGCAGGCGGUUUUGUAAGACAGAUGUGAAAUCCCCGGGCUUAACCUGGGAACUGCAUUUGUGACUGCAAGACUAGAGUACGGCAGAGGGGGGUAGAAUUCCACGUGUAGCAGUGAAAUGCGUAGAUAUGUGGAGGAAUACCGAUGGCGAAGGCAGCCCCCCUGGGUCGAUACUGACGCUCAUGCACGAAAGCGUGGGGGAGCAAACAGGAUUAGAUACCCUGGUAGUCCACGCC
rnacentral:rRNA from 1 species